AACGAACGCUGGCGGCAUGCCUAACACAUGCCAGUCGAACGAGACCUUCGGGUCUAGUGGCGCACGGGUGCGUAACGCGUGGGAACCUGCCCUUAGGUUCGGAAUAACUCCCCGACAGGGGUGCUAAUACCGGAUAAUGUCUUCGGACCAAAGAUUUAUCGCCUUUGGAUGGGCCGGCGUUGGAUUAGCUAGUUGGUAGGGUAAAAGCCUACCACGGCGACGAUCCAUAGCUGGUCUGAGAGGAUGAGCAGCCACACUGGGACUGAGACACGGCCCAGACUCCUACGGGAGGCAGCAGUGGGGAAUAUUGGACAAUGGGCGAAAGCCUGAUCCAGCAAUGCCGCGUGAGUGAUGAAGGCCUUAGGGUUGUAAAGCUCUUUUACCCGGGAUGAUAAUGACAGUACCGGGAGAAUAAGCUCCGGCUAACUCCGUG
rnacentral:rRNA from 1 species